rnacentral:piRNA from 1 species
UGCUUGAGUAUCGGGAUGGGCUAGGAGA